AUACGACAUCCGGCCCUUUUGAGCACUUUUAUACCUUUAGUUUCUGCAGUGAUUGCAAUACUUUUCUUGGAGAAAGGCAAAAACGAAUUUUCAUUCGAUUUAUAAUCAACGUUUCAAAAAAAUCAAAAGUACAUAUUCAGUAAGCAUGAGAAUAGCAUUGACGACCGUACAUAUCGUAGUUGCACCUCCGUGAUUGACCUGAGCUAGUGAAGUUGCACAGAGAACCACAUAGUUAGUUUUUGGGAUGUUAUACCAUCUUCAAUGUACAGCAAUUCAGUAACUCCCACUUUAAAAAGAUUAAUGACGGCGCCGGCCACGUCCUUACAGUCGUUGGGGAAAAAUUGGAAGAGGAUUGUUAGUUCGACAAACGUUGUUAUGAGACCGAGUUCAAAAGUACAUAUUCAGUGGUUGAGAAACAACGUGUCACUCCCCCCUCUAGAUAAUUACGUAGCUUCAUAACAACACAUUAUUUUUAAAAAUUUUACUGUCGAAAACAUACCUUGUGUCAUAAAGAAACAAGAAAAGACAAGGCAGUAAUAAAAAUGACUCUAAACAGACAAAACAGUGAUAAAAAAACAAUUAGAAAAAAUCCAUUUUUUCCUUAGUUUCAUAUUUGCUACAUAGCUUGGCCUAACCCCCACCCUCCUCUUCGUCACAUUUCGUCGCAAAACUGCAAACCCUCCCUUGAUAAAAACAACACUUCAGGAAGUAAAGUAAAAUUUCACAACAAAACUCGUUUUGCAUUGUUUUCAUUCAAUCAAACUGUUCCUAACAUACAUAAUAGUCUUAUGAAAUCAUUUUCAUUAAAAUAACGCCAGCUCGAAAAAAUUGAUAAUUUUCGUUCCUAGACUUUGGAUGGACCGGAACGGAGCCUAAUCGAUUCCAAUUCUUGACCGAACUGGACUGGAAUCCGGACGCAACUUUCCGUUCCAAUUUCGCACAUAUUGGACAUUUGAGAGCGCUUUUUUCAUUAACUCGAUAAGCAAGCCUGAAAAAAAUAGCUAAUUAAAUUUGCCGAACAUUCAACUUAUUAUUGUGGUUUAAAUUUUAAUUUUUUUCAAUCUUUUUGCUCUCACAUUUGGUGCCCUCCAAUGAUUGACGAGCAGGCCUGCUUCGCCUUCGGUUUAAUCCACCCCUGCAUAUAGUUAUAUAUGCAUUGGUAUACACCAGAAUACCAAGCUUCUUACUUCUUUGCUCAGUCUCCUUUCGUUUCUAGACCAUUGUGCAUUAGUUAACACUUGUGUACCUGACCCUUCCAGAGCCUAAAAAAUGGAAAUUCUUUAUCUGCCAUUCCACAAGAUCUAAUCCGAAUUUCAUCGAACCUUUUUAAAAGAUUACAAAUUUAUCAUAGUUUUUGGAACAGUAGGUGACAUCUCGAAAUUAACCGUUGUUCCGGUUUUAUCAAGGAGAACCGUGGGGUAAGUACCCUUCCAGAGACACAGGCUAGAAUAUAAACGGUAGCGAAACCGUACUGGUGACAUGUCAAACUUUAAGUUUUUGAAAAACAACACUGUUGACGAUCGGUAUUUGGCCACUUGGACGUGUUUUGACCACUGCUGGCUGAGUUCCGAGAGUCGGUUCCGGGAAUGGUUCCGAAACCUAGUUUGCGGCAUAUCAAAAAACUCGGACAGGAACGGCCAUUAGUCGUCCAAGUGGCCAAACACCGAUCGCCAAAAGUGUUGUUUUGCAAAAAGUUUGAUGUGUCGUAAGCAAGGUUUCGCUACCGUUUUCAAUCUAACCUGUGUCUCUGAAAGGGUAAUAACCCCACGGAUCCCUUCGAUAAAUGCGGAACAACGGAGAAUUUCGAAAUGUCCCCUUCUGUCCCAAAAACUAUAAUAAAUUUGUGAUCUUUUGAGAAAAGUUGAAAAAAGUUCGUUCAAAUUCGGUUUAGAUCUUGCGGAAUGCAGAUAAAAUAAUUUUCAUUUUUUCGGCUCUGGAAGCACCAGGUACGCAAGAGUUAGUUACGACUUGAAAUUUUGCGUGUAUCGAUUACAUAACAUUAUGUUGACCGAAAAUAUUUCAAAUUUUACUAAACAGAUUUUUCACAGGUCCGCAAUGCAGUCUUUAAAAGUCUAAAUGCAUACAUUUCCGUUCGUGGGAAUGAUGAAUAUCCAAUGAGACGACCGUCGAUUUCUUCAAAUGUGUAUGAUGUAGUUCCCGGAGACGAAAAUGCGCACAAUUGAACCAAACAGUAUUUCAAUUCAUCGUUCAAGCUAAUUAGAGCCGAAUUGCUUAUGCCACAUGUUGAAGAAACAAUAUAUUGAAUAUUAUUACAUAUGUUAUCAAUACAUCAAAACAAUAGAUACUGAAAAUAUCCAUACAUAUUACUGAAAAAACCCGAAUAAAUUCACCUAGCGGUGAGACCGAGCCUUUCUCAUUCGACCUUAUUAUCUGAUAAAAUAAAUCUACACGAACACUCCAAUUUUUAGAAAAAAAUGCACCUUGAUAAUUUCUGCUAGAUUUAUUGUUCACUUUAAAUAAUAAACUUUUGGUAGCCAAGAGUACAACGAUUUCGAACAUUUUAAACUUAACAUUCACACGCAAUUGAAGAUACCUUAACACAUACACAUGAAAAUAACAUGAAAUAAAUAUGUUUUAAAUAUA